rnacentral:lncRNA from 1 species
AGAAUAAACCAGGAUAAAGGAGAAUAAAAGAGAAUAAACCAGGAUAAAGGAGAAUAAAGGAGAAUAAACCAGGAUAAAGGAGAAUAAACCAAGAUAAAGGAGAAUAAAAGAGUAAUCCAGGAUAAAGGAGAAUAAACCAGGACAAAGGAGAAUAAAGGAGGAUAAAUGAGAAUAAAGGGAGAAUAAAGGAGAAUAAACCAGGAUAAAGGAGAAUAAACCAGAACAAAGAAUAGAGGAGUAUAAACCAGGAUAAAUGACAAUAAAGGAGAAUAAAAGAGAAUAAAGUACAUUAAAGGAGAAUAAAGGAGACUAAACCAGGAUAAAGGAGAUUAAAGUAUAAUAAAGUAUAAUAAAAGAGAAUAACCUAGGACAAUGGACAAAUGAGAAUAAAGAAUGAAAAAAACAGGAUAAAGGAGAAUAAACCAGAACAAAUGAGAAUAAACAAGGAUAAAGGAGAAUAAACCAGGAAAAAGGAAAAUAAAUUAGGAUAAAUGAGAAUAAAGGAGAAUAAACCAGAAUAAAUGAGAAUAAAGGAGAAUAAACCAGAAUAAAUGAGAAUAAAGGAGAAUAAACCAGAAUAAAUGAGAAUAAAGGAGAAUAGGUUUUGGUGAUUCUGAGACAAUAGUUCGUUAUCAAUAAAAUGUCACAAUAUAAUUUGAUUUUGCUGCUGGGGGACAAGGAGAACCGCAGCUCCGCUAAAACCAUUGACAACUAUAUUCUGUUUUCAACGCAUUGUUAAGUAAAUGUUAACUAUUUGGUUGUAAUAGUAUCAUGUCUUGAAGAACGAAGUCAGAACUACACAUUUCUGAUUAUUCCCCAUUUAGCUCCAUCAGAGUUUUACAGCAAUCAGUAAACAUCAAUUGAUCAUGUUUUUUCAGAUAUGUGAAGGUAUCCAGAUUCAUUUGGUAUGUAGCUAGUUAGCUAAAGCAAACAACAUGUGUCAUUUAGCCUGUUUCAUCAGAGAUUAGGGUUUUGGAAAGAGUUUUACAUUGUCAGUCAGAAUACUGUCAUCACCACUAUAGAUGGCAAGCAAAUCAAACAAUAUUUGGAUAUAGCCAUCUAGUUUAUCCCCUGAAAGUUAGCUUGUUAACUAGCCAUAUUGCCGCGAUCUGUUGUUAGCUAGCUAGCCAAUUUGACGUGGUCCAUCAAUAUCAUGUCUGUCAGCAGCAAUUGGGAUUAAACACUCUUAUAAAACAAUGUUGAAAAGGGGAUAAUGUUAGCUAACUUUGCUAGGUAGGCCUAUGUUGGUUGGAGAAAAAAGUACACUAUGUCUACUUACCACUAUGUUUAGCCAACUGUACCAAGUUUCUACCGGUAGCUUGCAAAGUAAACAUUAUCAGCUAACAGUGACGUUACAUUGGCAUAUGCGCCAUUCUGCUGCUUUGACAGCCAGACCCCAGAAAGGAUGGGAAAUUAACCUAAACCACUCAUACUGGUCAGACAUAGUUAUUUUAUAUCACUCAAAUAUCCAAUUAAUGGUGGUCAAUAUUGAGAGAUAUCGUGAGGCUACCCUGACGUAGUUAAAAAUACAUGAUCAAUUGAUGUUUAUUGAUCAUUUAAAAACAUGCAGUUACUUGCUGUAUAACUCUGAUGAUAGAGCUAAAUGUGCUAAAUUGUUUUGCAUGGAAUAGUCUAAAAUGUGUAGUUCUGACUAUGCUCUUCAAGAUGAGAUAUUACAACCAAAUAGUUAACAUUCCCUUAACAAUCCCUUGCAAACGGCACACAGUUGUCAAUGGUUUUAGUGGAGCUGCGGGUCUCCUUGCCCCUCAGCAGGCUAAUCGAACGCGCUGCACCUUUAUUGAGACGUUUUGUUGAUAACGACCUAUAAGGCCUCAGACUGAGAAUGUCCCAGUGUUCUAACUCUCUCAGCCAGUGAGAAGACACUGCUGCUGCUCACACUGCCAGACGGAACUGGACCAACCCGGGCUGAACUGGACCAGACCGAACAAGACCACACCAGACAGAGCCAGCUCCCCUCCCCCAGUAGACACAGGGCCAAUCUGAAAUGGCACCCUACUCCCUAUCAGGCUCUGGCCAAAAUAACUACACUAU